rnacentral:rRNA from 1 species
ACUGCCCGAUGGAGGGGGAUAACUACUGGAAACGGUAGCUAAUACCGCAUAACGUCGCAAGACCAAAGUGGGGGACCUUCGGGCCUCACACCAUCGGAUGUGCCCAGAUGGGAUUAGCUAGUUGGUGGGGUAAUGGCUCACCAAGGCGACGAUCCCUAGCUGGUCUGAGAGGAUGACCAGCCACACUGGAACUGAGACACGGUCCAGACUCCUACGGGAGGCAGCAGUGGGGAAUAUUGCACAAUGGGCGCAAGC